GGGCAAUUAGCUCAGUUGGAUAGAGCGUUGGCCUCCGGAGCCAAAGGCCGCAGGUUCGAAUCCUGCAUUGCCCGCCA
rnacentral:tRNA from 1 species